UAGAUUCAGAGUACAGCCUGUAGGAGUGUAAGCUCCUGGAUUUUGGGCCUAUUCUUCCUUGCUAAACAAAUUAUUGGCAGCUUGCUCAUCCAGAUGCCAAAGGACACAGGCUGGCUACAUUCACACAGAUGCUGGAAGUGGUGCAAAAGCUGUGUUGUAGCCCAUCAAAACAGUGUUGUCAUAGUACGAACAUAAAGAUGCUGCACACCAUGGGUUGUGCUAUGAACACAUACUGGGAAUUCCUGAGGGUGCAAAGUCUUCUGGAGCAGAGUCAGGAAAAGCAUGUGAUGUAUUUAAUGUUUUCAACAGACAGCAAGAAGACAUCAGGGCAGAAAGACAGGGCACCACUUCC